rnacentral:rRNA from 1 species
GACGAACGCUGGCGGCGUGCCUAAUACAUGCAAGUCGAGCGGAUGACGGAGGAGCUUGCUCCCCCUGAUUCAGCGGCGGACGGGUGAGUAACACGUGGGCAACCUGCCCUGUAGAUUGGGAUAACUCCGGGAAACCGGGGCUAAUACCGAAUAAUCCUUCGGACCUCAUGGUCCGAUGUUGAAAGACGGCAUCGCGCUGUCACUACAGGAUGGGCCCGCGGCGCAUUAGCUAGUUGGGGAGGUCACGGCUCACCAAGGCCACGAUGCGUAGCCGACCUGAGAGGGUGAUCGGCCACACUGGGACUGAGACACGGCCCAGACUCCUACGGGAGGCAGCAGUAGGGAAUCUUCCACAAUGGACGAAAGUCUGAUGGAGCAACGCCGCGUGAGUGAAGAAGGUUCUCGGAUCGUAAAACUCUGUUGUGAGGGAAGAACAAGUACCGGAGUAGCUGCCGGUGCCUUGACGGUACCUCAUUAGAAAGCCACGGCUAACUACGUGCCAGCCGCCGCCGUAA